UACGUAGGGUGCAAGCGUUGUCCGGAAUUAUUGGGCGUAAAGAGCUCGUAGGCGGUCUGUCACGUCGGCUGUGAAAACCCGGGGCUCAACCCCGGGCCUGCAGUCGAUACGGGCAGACUAGAGUGCGGUAGGGGAGACUGGAAUUCCUGGUGUAGCGGUGAAAUGCGUAGAGAUUGGAAAGAACACCGAUGGCGAAGGCACUUUACUGGGCUAUUACUAACACUCAGAGACGAAAGCUAGGGUAGCAAAUGGG
rnacentral:rRNA from 1 species